ACGGAGGGUGCGAGCGUUAAUCGGAAUUACUGGGCGUAAAGCGCGCGUAGGUGGUUCUGUAAGUCGGAUGUGAAAGCCCAGGGCUUAACCUUGGAAUUGCAUCCGAUACUGCAUAACUAGAGUAUGGUAGAGGGAAGUGGAAUUUCCGGUGUAGCGGUGAAAUGCGUAGAUAUCGGAAGGAACACCAGUGGCGAAGGCGACUUCCUGGGCCAAUACUGACACUGAGGUGCGAAAGCGUGGGGAGCAAACAGG
rnacentral:rRNA from 1 species